GGGCCCAUGGUAUAAUGGAUAGCACGUCGGUUUCCGGAGCCGAAGAUCCCAGUUCGAUUCUGGGUGGGCCUA
rnacentral:tRNA from 1 species